UACGGGGGGGGCAAGCGUUGUUCGGAAUUACUGGGCGUAAAGGGGACGUAGGCGGCCAAUUAAGUCCGACGUGAAAUCCCAAGGCUUAACCUUGGAACUGCGUCGGAUACUGGAUGGCUUGAAUUCGGGAGAGGGUUGCAGAAUUCCAGGUGUAGCGGUGAAAUGCGUAGAUAUCUGGAGGAAUACCGGUGGCGAAGGCGGCAUCCUGGACCGGUAUUGACGCUGAGGCGCGAAAGCCAGGGGAGCAAACGGG
rnacentral:rRNA from 1 species